rnacentral:rRNA from 1 species
AUACUGAGGGUGCAAGCGUUAAUCGGAAUUACUGGGCGUAAAGCGCGCGUAGGCGGUUUAUCAAGUCAGAUGUGAAAGCCCUGGGCUUAACCUGGGAACUGCAUUUGAAACUGAUAAACUAGAGUUUGAUAGAGGGUGACGGAAUUCCAGGUGUAGCGGUGAAAUGCGUAGAUAUCUGGAGGAACAUCAGUGGCGAAGGCGGUUGCCUGGACCAAAACUGACGCUGAGGUGCGAAAGCGUGGGGAGCAAACAGAAUUAGAAACCCCGGUAGUCC